UACGUAGGUGGCAAGCGUUGUCCGGAUUUACUGGGCGUAAAGAGCGCGCAGGCGGUUGGAUAAGUCGAAUGUGAAAGCCCCCGGCUCAACUGGGGAGGGUCAUUCGAUACUGUCCGACUCGAAGGCAGGAGAGGGAAGCGGAAUUCCUGGUGUAGCGGUGAAAUGCGCAGAUAUCAGGAAGAACACCCGUGGCGAAAGCGGCUCUCUGGAACGGUACUGACGCUGAGACGCGAAAGCGUGGGGAGUGAACAGG
rnacentral:rRNA from 1 species